GUUUUAAUAGUUUAUUAAAAAUAAUGAUUUUGUAAAUCAUAGAAGAAAUCACUCUUAAAACU
rnacentral:tRNA from 1 species